rnacentral:rRNA from 1 species
CAGAGGGUGCGAGCGUUAAUCGGAAUCACUGGGCGUAAAGCGUGCGUAGACGGCUAUCUAAGUCGGGUGUGAAAGCCCCGGGCUCAACCUGGGAAUUGCAUUCGAGACUGAAUAGCUAGGGUACGGUAGAGGGAAGCGGAAUUUCCGGUGUAGCGGUGAAAUGCGUAGAUAUCGGAAGGAACAUCAGUGGCGAAAGCGGCUUCCUGGACCAGUACCGACGUUCAGGCACGAAAGCGUGGGGAGCAAACAGGAUUAGAUACCCUGGUAGUCCACGCCAUAAACGAUGAGGACUAGACGUUGGAGGGGUAAGCCUUUCAGUGUCGUAGCUAACGCGCUAAGUCCUCCGCCUGGGGAGUACGGCCGCAAGGUUG